rnacentral:rRNA from 1 species
UACGUAGACCUCAAGCGUUAUCCGGAUUUAUUGGGCGUAAAGCGUGUGUAGGAGGUUUUGUAAGUCAGACGUUAAAUUCCAGGGCCUAACUUUGGAGCUGCGUUUGAUACUGCAUAACUUGAGGGUACUAGAGGUGCAUGGAACACAUGGUGUAGGGGUGACAUCCGUUGAUAUCAUGUGGAACACCAAAGGCGAAGGCAAUGCACUGGGGUACUCCUGACUCUGAGACACGAAAGCGUGGGGAGCAAAAAGG